UACGGAGGGUGCAAGCGUUAUCCGGAUUCACUGGGUUUAAAGGGUGCGUAGGUGGGUCUGUAAGUCAGUGGUGAAAUCUCCAAGCUUAACUUGGAAACUGCCGUUGAUACUAUAGAUCUUGAAUGUUGUGGAGGUGAGCGGAAUAUGUCAUGUAGCGGUGAAAUGCUUAGAUAUGACAUAGAACAUCAAUUGCGAAGGCAGCUCACUACACAAAGAUUGACACUGAGGCACGAAAGCGUGGGGAUCAAACAGG
rnacentral:rRNA from 1 species